UACAGAGGUCUCAAGCGUUGUUCGGAUUUAUUGGGCGUAAAGGGCGCGUAGGCGGCGGGGUAAGUCGGGUGUGAAAUCUCAGGGCUCAACCCUGAAACUGCACUUGAUACUGCUCUGCUUGAGGACUGGAGAGGAGACUGGAAUUCACGGUGUAGCAGUGAAAUGCGUAGAUAUCGUGAGGAAGACCAGUGGCGAAGGCGAGUCUCUGGACAGUUCCUGACGCUGAGGCGCGAAGGCCAGGGGAGCAAACGGG
rnacentral:rRNA from 1 species